rnacentral:miRNA from 1 species
CCUGUUCUGUUGAGGAUAGACCUGUCCUGGCACCGGAUAGGAUGUUCUUUGAGUACAGG